GGCGUAAGCGCGCGUAGGCGGUUUCUUAAGUCUGAUGUGAAAGCCCACGGCUCAACCGUGGAGGGUCAUUGGAAACUGGGAGACUUGAGUGCAGAAGAGGAAAGUGGAAUUCCAUGUGUAGCGGUGAAAUGCGUAGAGAUAUGGAGGAACACCAGUGGCGAAGGCGACUUUCUGGUCUGUAACUGACGCUGAUGUGCGAAAGCGUGGGGAUCAAACAGGAUUAGAUACCCUGGUAGUCCACGCCGUAAACGAUGAGUGCUAAGUGUUAGAGGGUUUCCGCCCCUUAGUGCUGCAGCUAACGCAUUAAGCACUCCGCCUGGGGAGUACGACCGCAAGGUUGAAA
rnacentral:rRNA from 1 species